rnacentral:rRNA from 1 species
AACGAACGCUGGCGGCGUGCCUAAUACAUGCAAGUCGAACGGUGUCUUCGGACAUAGUGGCGCACGGGUGCGUAACACGUAUGCAACCUACCUUACAUUGGGGGAUAGCCUUUCGAAAGGGAGAUUAAUACCGCAUAAGACAGUAGCUGGGCAUCCAGCAGCUGUUAAAGAUUUAUCGAUGUAAGCUGGGCAUGCGUCCAAUUAGCUAGUUGGUGAGGUAACGGCUCACCAAGGCAAUGAUUGGUAGGGGAACUGAGAGGUCAAUCCCCCACACUGGCACUGAGAUACGGGCCAGACUCCUACGGGAGGCAGCAGUAGGGAAUAUUGGGCAAUGGACGCAAGUCUGACCCAGCCAUGCCGCGUGCAGGAUGAAGGCGUUAUGCGUUGUAAACUGCUUUUAUACAGGAAGAAACGACUCUUGCGAGAGGCAUUGACGGUACUGUAUGAAUAAGCACCGGCUAACUCCGUGCCAGCAGCCGCAGUAAAAC